rnacentral:lncRNA from 1 species
UAUAAAUAACACUAGAUUGGAAGUCACGUGAUUUUCGGCAUGCGCAAGCAGCCGCCAUUGCUGUGUGUUGAACUUUCAACGUUUGCCAGUGGAACUGACAAUGUUAUUACCGAAUGGUCAUGUCCUCCUCCUCCACCUCCUCACCUACUGUUUGAUAUUUCUGGAUCUGAGCACCUUUCCUCCAAAUGGACUCUGCAAGGUCUUAUAAUUAAAGGUUUGAAGUGCUUUGCAUCAACAGGUGGAGUUCUCUGAAAGAGUGUCCCAGUUUACCUUGCAUAGUUUGUCGUUUCAAUAAGAAUGAUCGGAUGGACAGAAGAUGAUUGUAGCAACUGACACAUUUGUUGUAUCUGAAAGGAUAAAAAAAUAAAAUUAUAUGUGUGUGUGUAUAUAUAUAUAUAUAUAUAUAAAUAGUUUAAAAAUCUUACCAUAAUUCUGAUUUGAAGUAAUCGAAAUAAAACUGACAAAAUUACACUUUUAACUUAAUCAAGCUUGCACUGAAACACUCGUUGUUUUAGCAAUUUGAUUAUGUAAAUAGCACCUUCACUACUACUGUGUAAAUUGCAUUCCAGCCUGAAGAGCCCUGGUAUUGGGUAAAGGUAUUGUGAGCACUUCAUAUAGCAUGGUUAAUACAUUAUUAUACACUCUUUUAUACUUUCAAACAGAAGUUAUUAAUAAAUACUAAAACUGUACAUAAACAAAUUAAGGUGAAAUGAGCAGUAACUGCCUAAUUCAGAGCGACAUUUGAGAAGAAAGUAUUGUAGAACUAAUUAAUCUACAGAAGUAGCUCAGGUGGAAAGAUUAGUGUAGAUAAGUCCUCCAAGAUAUUCUCUUCUCCUCAAGUGUCACUCUGAAUUAGGCAGUCACUGCCCAUUUCAACUUUGUUUGUUUAUCAUGAAGACUCUCCCUAAAUUAUCUAUUACAGAAUAUAUCUGUACACAUAAAGACCUUUAAAAGUUAACAUUUUCGAACACCAAGCAUAGAUAUAUCAAAUUAAAGAAGUAUCAUAACUUUACAGUUUUUACAAACCAAAAUAUUGUAUCUGAAAUUUUUAUAUACCUAAACUGCUUAAAAUUAUAUACAUUUUAAUGCUGUUAAUCAACCAAAAAUGUUUUCAUAUAUUUUGUCACUACCACUAUAAUAAAAUUAAAAUACUGUACUUGGUUAGUUUAACUAUAUUUUUGUAUCUGAAACCUAUAGAAAUUAAUGCAUAUUUGAAGUGUUAAAAUGGGACUUUUAUGUACAUUGAAUCAACCAUAAGACAAUUCCUCAUAAAAGUUGUCACAUAUUGCUCUCACAAAAAGAGUACGUAUAUUGUAUUUAUAAGUAUCUGGAAUGUAAAAUUUGUAGGUGGAAACACAUUAUUUGAAAAUUAAAUAGUGAAUGAAAUAUAUAGAAUGUAUACUUUUUAUCACAAUUUUAAUUAACAAUCAGUAUGAUUCACAGUACAUAAAUUAAAAAACAACAAUUAAAGACUUACAUUUUUUUGUGGAUUAAAAGUGGGUGAUAAAUCACACAUUGCGUAUUUAGUUGGAAGGUCAAAUUUAAGCGGUACAUAAACAUACAGAUCAGAGUUAUCAAUAUUUUAUAAAAUUCAUUACUGUGGCUUAGGAAAAUCUACAUAAAGGUACUUGUAUACUAUUAUACUACAGUUGCAACACAAAGUUUUAUAGACUAAUACAAAGCCAAGGUAUGAGCAGGCACUAAGUGUUUUUUUUAAACUACAGAAUGCUACA